GACACUUCAGCGUGAGAAAUCGUGGGUGUGGCGUGUGAGUGUGUGAAACUAAUCAAAUGCGUGAGAGUUGGCAGCUAUGCACCAGAGCACUCGUGAUUCCUUUGAGUUGGCCAACGUGGGAGCCACACCACUGAAUAGCGCUGCUAACUACCGGUAGGUUAGCAGUUCCAUUCAGCCACGAGGGAUUGGAAACUACAGUUGCUGAACGCUACACCGACGCCAUGGGGUGCACACCAAUGUCGCUGUGUUCGAAUUCCUGGCCACUUUUAUCAAGCUGAGCUCUUGACAUCUCCUCCUCUCUGAGGCUCUCGGGCUCCUGGUAGGUGUCAAUGCUGUAGAAUCUCACUUUGUUUCUUGACAUCUCCUCUAUCUUUUCUAGCAGUUGUGCAAUGCUAAUGUAAUCAGGCCUGUCUUUGACAUUGAGAAGGUGAUACCUGUUCCCACAUUUCUCUACCAGCUGCUGAAGCUCCCGGCUCCCUUUCUGGAGCAACUCCUCCAUACCCAUCUCUCUCAACCCCUUAGUAUUGGUGAAGAGGAGCAGUGUGUGUCUCCAACAGCCCUCCCCAAAAAUAUCCUCCAUUUUCUCUAGCAUUUCUCUCGCUGCCCUUUCAGACAGCUCCUCUGGAAUCACCAGGAGGAAAGCAUGAGGUCCCGGAGCAGACAGUUGAACACAAAGCUUCACAUCCUGUCUCAUGUCCUUCUCAGAGAGUCCACUGCAGAACAAGUCUGCAGUCUCCACCAGGGUCACCCAUCUCCCAGCCACCUCCCCCCAUCUGCACUCACUGUGCUGGGUCUCUGUAAGUGUGGAUGUGCCCAGGAUGGUGUUUGCUGCUGCCUUCUUCUCAGCUGCACUCCCCCCGAUCAGCACCAGUCUCAACUCAGACCCAGCAGGAGGCUGUGGAGAUUCUGGAUCAGGACAGUUUUCUUCCACUGCAAACGCAGUCAUAGUUCAGUCACAGAUGAUUACUUUCUCCCAAACACAAUACACACUAUAUAGACAAUGAACUAUAACAAUCAUAUCACUCCAA